rnacentral:lncRNA from 1 species
CACGGAUCCACACGCUCCCUGACCCACACCCUCCACCUGGCACAGUGCCAUACAGACCCACACCCUCCCCCAGCACAGGUGCCACACGGACCCACACCUGGCACGCAUGCCACAGAGACCCACACGGACCCAAAUGCUGCCCCCAGCACAGGUGCCACACAAGCCCCGCUCAGCAUUGGUCCUGGGACUCCUGAGCCCUCCACACCCCACUCCUCAGCCUCCACCCAUCCACCGCCCAGGCAGCUGCCAUUUGCUCACCCUCCAAGUCACCUGUGAAGUGGCCUAAUACUGAGAAGGCAGAGGCUGCUGCCCGGCCCUCACAUCCUCACAGUCACAACUGCCUGCUUUGGGAGCUAGCGAGUGUUGAGAAGCUGCUGUAACCCGCCUGCAAAAGGCCCAACUUGUGACAGACACUGCGAUCCUCCCCCUGACUCUGGAAAACACUGUCUGAAACCACAGUGACCCUAAGACUGUCUUAAAAACAAAAUGAGAAGGGAGUCAAAGCAACGUACUGCAAAAAAGUCGACUACACACAAAGGUAGCAAGGGAGAACGUGAGCGACCAGAAACAUGGCAGAAGCUCCCCCUCAGUAACUGCUUUGAAAGCGAAUGGACUGAUCGCUCCAACAAAAGGCAGAUUGGCAAAGUGGGUGAAAAGACGAUUUCCAUGUUGUCACCACACGAUCUGCAAGACGUUCAAAGACACGAACAGGCUGGAAGUGAAAGGAUGAAGAAACCCAGGCAAAGAGUAACCUAAAGAGAGCUGAGGCGACUCUUAAACUCACAGCAGAUAAGUUUUCUAUUUUUUGAGACGGAGUCUUGCUCUGUUGCCGGGGCUGGAGUGCAGUGGCGCAAUCUCGGCUCACUGCAACCUCCGCCUCCUGGGUUCCAGCAAUUCUCCUACCUCAGCCUCCCGAGUAGCUGGGAUUACAGGCAUCCGCCACCAUGCCUGGCUAAUUUUUGUUUUUUGAGAUGGAGUCUUGCUCUUGUUGCCUAGGCUGGAGUGCAGUGGCGUGAUCUCAGCUCACUGCAACCUCCGCCUCUCCUGCCUCAGUCUCCUGAGUAGCUGAGAUUACAGGCACCCACCACCAUGCCUGGCUAAUCUUUGUAUUUUUAGUAGAGAUGGAGUUUCACCAUGUUGGCCAAACUGGUCUCGAACUCUUGACCUCAGGUGAUCUGCCUGCCUCGGCCUCCCAAAGUGUUGGGAUUACAGGCAUGAGCCACCAUGCCCGGCCAGAGAAGAUUUUAAAUAAAAAAUUGUCAGAAGGGCCGGGAAAGGUGCUCACCCCUGUAAUCCCAGCUACUUGGUAGGCUGAGGCAGGAGGAUAACUAGAGCACAAGAAGUGGAGGCUGCAGUGAGCCGCAGCUGUGCCACUGCACUCCAGCCUGGGCAACAAAGUGAGACACAUCCACCCUCAACAAAAAGUCGUUACAAGAGACAGCAUUAUAUAUGGAUAAAAGAGUCAAUUCAUCAAUAAAAAUGUAAAAAUUAUAAACAUGCACCCAAUAAGAAAGCCCAAAAAUGUAAACGUUGGCAGAAUGGAAGGGACAGACAACAAACAGUUCUAUCUAUAGUAAGAGUUGGAGACUUAAACACACCACUUAAUAAUGGAUAGACCAUCUAGGGUUGGGAGCGGUGGCUCAUGCCUGUAAUCCCAGCACUUUGGGAGGCCGAGGCAGGUGGAUCACGAGGUCAGGCGAUCAAGACCAUCCUGGCUAACACGGUGAAACCCCGUCUCUACUAAAAAUACAAAAAAAUUACCCGGGCGUGGUGGCAGGCGCCUGUAGUCCCAGCUACUCGGGAGGCUGAGGCAGGAAAAUGCCGUGAACCUGGGAGGUGGAGCUUGCAGUGAGCUGAGAUCGCGCCACUGCACUCCAGCCUGGGUGACAGAGCAAGACUCCGUCUCAAAAAACAAAAAAACCAUCCAGACAGAAGAUCAAUGAGAAAUGGAAGACCUGAACAACAGCCUAAACCAACAAGACCAAACAGGCACAUACACGGAACCCUCCACCCAGCAGAAGAGAGCACACCGUCUUCUCCAGGGCACACGGGUACAGGACGCUCUGCCCAGCAAAAGAGAGCACACCGUCUUCUCCAGGGCACACAGAAAGUUCUCCAAGAUAAGCCACAAAACAAGUUGUAAUAAACCUCAAAAGGCUGACAUCUCUAGUCACAAUGGAAUGAAGCUAGAAAUCACUUAAAAACACAACACACUGGCUGGGCGCGGCGGCUCAUCCCCAGAAUCCCAGCACUUUGGGAGGCUGAGGCAGAUCACUUGCGAUCAGGUGUUGGAGACCAGCCUGGCCAACAUGGUGAAGCCCCAUCUCUCCUAACAGUACAAAAAUUAGCUAGGUGUGGUGGAGCAUGCCAGUAGUCCCAGCUACUUGGGAGUCUGAAGGAGGAGAACCACUUGAGCCUGGGAGGCGGAGGUUGCAGUGAGCCAAGAUCAUGCCACUGCACUCCAGCUUGGGCGACAGAGUAAGACUCCGUCUAAAAACCAAAAAAACCCACAACAUACCAAAAUUGAUGGACACAGCAAAAGCAGUGACCAGAAAGACAUGCACAGUGUAAAUGGCUACACUGAAGAAGAUCUCCAAUCAGUUACCUCAACUCACGCCUAAGGAACUGGAGAAAGAAGAGCCAAGAUUAGAGGGAGACAAUAGACUGAAGAAACAGGCACACGCUGCGUAACUCCACUUACACGAAGAUUAGAGGGAGACAAUAGACUGAAGAAACAGGCACACGCUGCGUAACUCCACUUAAACGAAGAUUAGAGGGAGACAACAGACUGAAGAAACAGGCGCACGCUGCGUAACUCCACUUACACGAAGAUUAGAGGGAGACAACAGACUGAAGAAACAGGCACACGCUGUGUAACUCCACUUACAUGAAGGGUUUAGAGCAGUCAGGUUCACAGACUCGGAGCGGAGUGGUUGCUACCAGGGGCUGCAGGGAGGGGAAUGGGGAGCUGGUAACCGGCUCACACAGGGUUUGGGUGGCGGAUGUGAACAAGCUCCAGGGCUCGGCUGUACAGCACUGCUCCUGCGUCAGCUGUGAUGUGCGGUGCCCUCCACAAUUUAAGAGGAUAGAUCCAUGUUGUGUUCCUACCACAAUGAAAUUGUAAAAAACUGCUACGAACAAUUAUAUGCCAAAAUUACCUACAAGACAUGGACAAACUACCUGACACAGAAAAUUCCUGGAAACAUAAAUUACCAAAACUGACUCAAGAAGAAAAGAAAAUCUAAAUUGAGGUAAGGCAAGCAAGGAGACUGAUCAGUAAUCAAAAUUUUUCCAACAAAGAAAAGCCCAGGACCAGAUGGCUUCACUGGUGAUUUCUACCAAAUACUCUUACGAACAAAUGGCAAUCCUUCUCAAACUUUGAAGGAAAAAAAUGGAAGAUGUGCGCAUACCUCCUAACUCACUCUGAGGCCAGCACCACCUUGACAUCAAAGCCAAACAGACACUAAAGAAAAAGCAGAACUCUAAGCUAGUAUCCCUUACGCAUACAGAUGCAAAAAUCCUCAAAAUACUCGCAACAUUCAGCAUAUUAAAAUAAUUAUACAGCAUAUGGCUGGGUGCGGUGGCUCACGCCUAUAAUCCCAGUACUUUGGGCGGCUGAGGUGGGCAGAUCACCUGAGGUCGGGAGUUCAAGACCAGCCUGACCAACACGGCGAAACCCUGUCUCUACUAAAAAUACAAAAUUAGCCGGGUGUGGUGGCGGGUGCCUGUAAUCCCAGCUACUUGAGAGACUGAGGCAGGAGAAUCACUUGAACCCAGGAGGUGGAGGUUGCAGUGAGCCAAGAUCGUGCCACUGCACUCCAGCCUGGGCAACAAGAGUGAAACUCCGUCUCAAAAAAUAUUAAAAAUAAUAAUCAUAUAGCAUAUUAAAAGGACCAAGUAAAAUUUAUCCCCAGAAUGCAAGGAGAUAUGAAUGAAAUAAUAAAACCACAUGACCAUCUUCAUUGCAGGAAAAAGCAUUUGAUAAAAUGCAAUAGCUUUUCAUGGUAAAAGCAUUCUGAAAGAAAACUUCAGCAUGGUAAAAGCCCACAGCUAACAUCACACUCAAUGGGUGAAACACUGAACACUUUUCCCCGAAGGUCAGGAACAAGAAAAGAAUGCCCAUCUCAGCUCCUUCUGUUCAACAUACACGUCCUAGCUAGUGCAACCCAGUGAGUCACCCACACGACCCAGCAAUCCUACCACCUGUACACCCCACGGAACUGAAAGCAGGGAGUCAGAGAUCUCUGCAUUCGCUUUCAUGGCAGCACGGCACACAACACACAGUGCACCGUACGCAACAGCCAGAAGAGGAACACGUACGCCAGUAUGUCGUGGAUAAGCAAACUGCGGCCUGUCCACACAACGGGAUGCUUCUCAGCCUUCAAAUGGAAUAAAAUCCUGAUACGGACCUGGGUGAACAUUGAGGACCUUAUGCUAAGUGAAAUAAGCAGUCACUACAGAACAAGCACCGUAUGACUCCACUCGCAGCAGGUCCUAGAUUCACCAAAUUCAUAAAGACAGAGAGUAGAAUGGGGGUGCCAGGGCUGGGGUGGGCCCAGGGAGUGACUGUGCACUUGGAACCUGGAAGCCAGAAGGUAAACCAUCUCUAAGCACAACAGCACGGGAGGCGCCUUGCUGUGGGCACGGCUG